rnacentral:misc_RNA from 1 species
UGUGGGAGCGGGCUUGCUCGCGAUUCAGGCAACUCGGUUUAUCUGUAAGACCGAGUUGAUUUCAUCGCGGGCAAGCCCGCUCCCACA